UUUUCUGAAACCUACAUCACAUCCGACCGCAUCUCACGAUAUCUGAAUAACUUUAAAAAAUAAUUAAUUUAUGAUGUUUACUACAGUUGUACCAGUUUGCUCCUAAUUAUCUCAUAUUUGCCAAGAAUGUAUCUAAUCUGUACUAGAAAAUGGAUGACUAAAUUUUUUUAUGUUUAAUAUUACUUGGCAGGCUAUAAUUUCAGAUCAAUUAAUUCAUUUUUCUUAUUUAUUAAUUAUUCAGAAAUCGUGAGAUGCGGUCUGGUUUAAAUACAAUAUAAAUAAAAAUAUUUACUUAUUCUUAUUUAUAUUGUAGGUUAUUGAACAAUAUACUGCAGCACGGAAUUUUCUUUAUUAAUGCUCUUUAUUACAUAUAUAUUGUUCAACCUACAACACAAAUGAAAAAAUCAUAAUAUAAACAGCAAAAAAAAUGUAAUUAUUAUUAUUUUAAAAGAUAUGUAAAUUUGUAUUUCAAUUAAUCUAUAUGAAAAAAAUUUUGGAAUUUAAAGCGUGGCAAUUGUGUUUAAAUGAUUAUAGAGGCCAAAUGACUCCUUAAAUGGUCAUCUAGGCAUUUUUAUGAUUACAGGUGGUAGUCUGAAAGAGCAAGCUCAAGAGUAUUGUUUGGAUGCUCAGGAAUUUUAUUUCUUCCAUUAUAAAAAGCUUUUGCUUCUGAAUGUAAAGAAAUAUUCAAAUAAUAACAUGAUCUUCCUAUUUGCCAAUGUAAAGGACUGCCUCUUCAAAGUAGUCAAUUGCAGUUCAUGUAGGGCUGGCAUUUGAGAGAGGUUUACCUGUAGAGAGAUAAACUGGAACUUGAGUGCCAACUACUUCCAGUGAAACUGCACAGGUAACCUAGAUUGGAUUGAAAUUUGAUUCUUUCUACAUGCACACUUGUCUACUUCGGAGUGUGUGUGGGUGGGGGAGGCUCAAUAAGUAGAUGAGUUCCUAUUUCUUUGCAACAAUCAAAUGUUUACACCAUGUUUUACAAUGUUUCUUUUGUUUUUAAUUAAUAGCAAAAAAUAAACAGAUUUCUUCCUA